rnacentral:rRNA from 1 species
CGCCGCUGCUAAAGAGGAGGAAGGAAUGGGCAACGGUAGGUCAGCAUGCCCCGAAUUAUCCGGGCUACACGCGGGCUACAAUGGUCAGGACAAUGGGUAUCGACACCGAGAGGUGGAGGCAAUCUCCUAAACCUGUCCUUAGUUCGGAUUGUGGGCUGCAACUCGCCCACAUGAAGCUGGAAUCCGUAGUAAUCGCGUUUCAAAAUAGCGCGGUGAAUAUGUCCCUGCUCCUU